UGGGAUGUAGCUCAGUUGGUAGAAUUCUUGCCUAGCAUGCAAGAUUCGUUGGGUUUGAGCCCCAGCACCACAU
rnacentral:tRNA from 1 species